rnacentral:lncRNA from 1 species
GAAAAUAAAAAUAUUAGCUCUGUAUGCAACUAAUAAAAAUGUGCUAAUCAUAUAAAAUGUUACUAUGAAAUGAAGAGCAAAGUAUUAAAUUAUUCAAAGAACAUCAGUCGUGUGGCAGUAUUUGUGUUUCUUUUACAAUGGAAAAUGAUGAAUUGCCAAUUAAGACAACACCAAUUGAAGCUGAUUACAUUAUAUUUUGGAACAAAAAGUUAGGAUCUGGUAUUAGUGGACCAGUCAGAAUUUGUCAAAGUAGAACAACAAAUGAAAAAUUUGCAUUUAAAUGCUUGGUUGAUCGUCCAAAGGCCAGGAU